UGGGGAAUUUUGGACAAUGGGGGAAACCCUGAUCCAGCCAUCCCGCGUGUGCGAUGAAGGCCUUCGGGUUGUAAAGCACUUUUGGCAGGAAAGAAACGUCGCGGGUUAAUACCCCGCGAAACUGACGGUACCUGCAGAAUAAGCACCGGCUAACUACGUGCCAGCAGCCGCGGUAAUACGUAGGGUGCAAGCGUUAAUCGGAAUUACUGGGCGUAAAGCGUGCGCAGGCGGUUCGGAAAGAAAGAUGUGAAAUCCCAGAGCUUAACUUUGGAACUGCAUUUUUAACUACCGGGCUAGAGUGUGUCAGAGGGAGGUGGAAUUCCGCGNGUAGCAGUGAAAUGCGUAGAUAUGCGGAGGAACACCGAUGGCGAAGGCAGCCUCCUGGGGAUAAGCACUGACGCUCAUGCAGCGAAAAGCGUGGGAGCAAACA
rnacentral:rRNA from 1 species